UACGACUGAAGCGACUUAGCAGCAGCAGCAGCAGUAGCUAUAUAACAUCCGGCUAAAGACUAGCAGGGGGGCACUCUUUCUGCCCCCUUCUGAUGCCUAUGUCAGAAGCUUUCUCUAUCUCUUUUAUACUUUAAUAUAACUUUAUUACACAAAAGCCCUGAGCAAUCAAGCCGGUUUGAAUUCUUCUCCUCCAGAGGCCAAGAAUCCCCGGAGUCUUUCAUGGUUCAGCAAUAACCUUUCACUUGGAGGGCUACAGUCCACAGAGUUGCAAAGACAUGACUGAAGCAACUUAGCAGGCACGCAAGGAGUAUUAAGAGAAGAGCUUGUACCAGCAUGCUACAAGUAGAACUGGACAGGACGAAUAGACUCCCCAGUACUUAACUCCUUAUUAGAUGACAGUGCUUCCCAGGUGAAGCAGUGGUAAAUGAUCUUGCUGCCAAUGCAGGAGAAAACAGACAGAACAGGCUCCAUCUUGAAAGCAGGACUCCAUCUUGGGCCAGACUGUGGACUUUGAGCUAUAUGCCCAGUAUCUACGGAAACGACACACCAACUGGAAAACCAGACCCCCCAGAAGGAAAGCCCCAGGGCUCGUACCUAGACUCUCCUAGUCGCCUAAAAGAAUACCCUACUUAUCUGUGUAACUGAAUAGAAUCAUAAAUUCUAUUAUGCUUAUUGGGGUAUGAUCACAGGCCCAUGGAUAAUUGUCCACUGUUAACUACCUAGGCUUAAGGCAUAUGAAUCACAGGUUAACUUUGAUUGUAUCUUUCUUUUUCUUUGUUCCUUUGUGUAAAGUUUUCACAAAAACUGGUCAGAGUCCUUGGCUAAGAGGAGACUCUGCCUUGGGCCCGCUGGUGUAAUAGACUGCACUCUACUAUCUGCAUCGUCCUUCUGAGUGAGUGUUUUUCCCAGAAUGCGUGGCUACAACAUUUGCUGCAUUAGCCGGGAAACUCCUCACUUUGAGGAGACAAGUCCCAUUUGGGACUACUCCAAGGCCUUGUGGCUUGAAUCUUCUAGAGGAGGGAAGGUGCCUCGCCCUUCUGGAAGGAUUCUGCUUCUCAAUGCCCAGAUCUUUCACAUUAGCAGGUGGUGGACGGCAGCAGGGGAACUGAGCACUCAGGACAGAAUCUCAGAACUGCACUGCCUGCUCACAGGUCAAGGCUGCCUCUCGACAUGGACAGAAACCUCCAGGGAUUCAGCUAAAAGGCACGCUACCCUUUGAACACC
rnacentral:lncRNA from 1 species